GGAUCUUUGCUUGAGCAACGACGUCCGCCCAUUUGAGCGCCUUCAUUCGUGGAACAAGAGCUUUGUUAGCCUUGUCCGCUGUUGGUUUCUUGUGUUUCAUACCGUUACACGGAAUUGUCCAGUUACAAUCGUCCCUCGUUCGUCUUGUGAUGCCCGCUUCGGCGUGUGCGUCGCUGAUGAAUCAUGAAGUGCCCGUUGCAGUCCGCAUCAGCCACGUUAAAUUGUGUGUUGCAUGCGGCCUGUGACAUGGUUCUUGUACUCAUGGAUGCGGUACCUUCAUAGGGUAAGGGGAUUGUCCCCUUUUUGCCCAAAAUCAUGCGUUCACCGCUACUUAGCGAACGACCGUUGCUGCCGUCUUAGGUAGGCAGUCAUGCCGUGCCUGACCGUCAGUGACGUCGAUGAGGAAUGCUAC
rnacentral:misc_RNA from 1 species